AGUGAACGCUGGCGGCGUGCUUAACACAUGCAAGUCGAACGAGAACGGGUUAUAGUUUACUAUAACUGUCAGCUAAGUGGCGCACGGGUGAGUAAUAUAUAGGUAACAUGCCUUGAAGAAGGGGAUAACGUUUGGAAACGAACGCUAAUACCCUAUAUGCCUUUAACCCAUAAGGGUGCAAGGGAAAUAUUUAUAGCUUCAAGAUUGGCCUGUACGGUAUCAGCUAGUUGGUGAGGUAAUGGCUCACCAAGGCAAUGACGCCUAACUGGUUUGAGAGGAUGAUCAGUCACACUGGAACUGAGACACGGUCCAG
rnacentral:rRNA from 1 species